rnacentral:lncRNA from 1 species
UAUUUCUCAUUGAUUUUAUUUGUGACAACUAAUCUUUAAUACAAAACUUAACAAAUAAAGCAAAUUAUAAAUAAUUAUCAAUAUAUUACCAGUUGCUAUAACAAAUACUGGUUAUCAUACAAUCUAAUAAUGUAAGAAUAAUAUUAAUGAUAUGAAAAAAAAAUGCUAGCACUGGUCACAAUUUCACUUAAAAAUUUAAAAGAUCAAGUAUCUUUAUAGAAACUGGUCUGUCGUGGAUAACUUAUAAAAGAGAUCAUGAUUACAAAUAGAAAGUAACAUAAAAAUCAUAUCAGUAUCCAGCAAUAUAACAGGUGAAACUGUGAGCUACUGCUCACUGAUGAUACCCCCUUCGCAAGUGGAUAAUCUUAAUAGUGUAAAAAUAUGUAUGUUUUCAUUAAACAGGAAGUUGAAGUGUGAUGAUUUAUAAAAUGCAUCACACGGUAUACUGACUUACAUAAACCCUCAAACCAAAUUUCAGAAAUCCUUGUAGUGUACGUAGUUCCUGAGAUAAAUGCAACAAAAAUUUUCAACUUGGCUAUCAUGGGACGAAAGGACAGAUAGAUGGACUGACAGACAGACAGAGGUUAAACAGACUGAGUAUACCCCAACUUUUUUAAAGCGUGGGUAUAAUUAAAGGACUAAUUUCGUAACAAGGGCAAAUUGAAUAUAUCCCUUGAUAUCAUCUCUCAUUAUUACUUUUAAUAUACUAGGGUAAUAACAAGCUUUCUUAGAGUAAAUUAUCUUUAAAACAAAAGACACAAACUUUUGUGAAAUAUUGUUCAUGUUUUUUUAACCUAACUAGUUUGAAUUUAUUAUUCAGUUUCUGGUGUUAUAUUUAAACAGCAAACAUUUUCAAGAUUUUUAUAAACUUCAAAAUGGAAGCCAAAUUAAAAAAAAAUAGUGAUUUGUAAAUUAUUGAAGAAUCACAAAUCUGUGUUGCCAUAGGGAAAUGGUAGUCCAUUGUGACCUUUAAAAGUAUCAUUGACCCUAAAAAUUCGAAAAUUGAUAUGUUGUAAUUUUGCAACAACAACCCAAUUAACCUGUUUUGAUAUUUCUUAUAUAUAUUAUAUUACUACAUUCAAUGUGAUACAUAAAAUAUAUCUUCAUGGUAGAAACAGAAACAAAGCCACAAUCAUAAUAUAAUGCAUAAGAAAAUUCCCUUUUUUUAAGUGAUGUCACAAUAGUAAAAACAUAUAGCCCAGUCAAUGUAGCAUAAAUUC